UCGUGGAUUGAUUUGUCUGGUUGAUUCCGAUAACGAACGAGAUCUCAACCUGCUAAAUAGCGAACGUAGUCGCCUGCUGGGUGAAUGCUGUGGUCUACUUGGCUUCCGGGCUGGGUGGCUGCGGUUGGAUCCCUGGCGAUCUAUCGUUGAUGGCUUCUUAGAGGGACUGCUUCGGUUAACGGAGAGGAGGUUUGAGGCAAUAACA
rnacentral:rRNA from 1 species